AGAGUUUGACCCUGGCUCAGGACGAACGCUGGCGGCACGCUUAACACAUGCAAGUCGAACGAGAGAAGAGGAGCUUGCUUUUCUGAUCUAGUGGCGGACGGGUGAGUAACACGUGAGCAAUCUGCCUUUCAGAGGGGGAUACCGAUUGGAAACGAUCGUUAAUACCGCAUAACAUAAUUGAACCGCAUGAUUUGAUUAUCAAAGAUUUAUCGCUGAAAGAUGAGCUCGCGUCUGAUUAGCUAGUUGGUAAGGUAACGGCUUACCAAGGCGACGAUCAGUAGCCGGACUGAGAGGUUGAUCGGCCACAUUGGGACUGAGACACGGCCCAGACUCCUACGGGAGGCAGCAGUGGGGAAUAUUGCUCAAUGGAGGAAACUCUGAUGCAGCGAUGCCGCGUGAGGGAAGAAGGUUUUAGGAUUGUAAGCCUCUGUCUUCAGGGACGAAAAAAGACGGUACCUGAGGAGGAAGCUCCGGCUAACUACGUGCCAGCAGCCGCGGUAAUACGUAGGGAGCGAGCGUUGUCCGGAAUUACUGGGUGUAAGGGGAGCGUAGGCGGGAUCGCAAGUCAGAUGUGAAAACUAUGGGCUUAACCCAUAAACUGCAUUUGAAACUGUGGUUCUUGAGUGAAGUAGAGGUAAGCGGAAUUCCUAGUGUAGCGGUGAAAUGCGUAGAUAUUAGGAGGAACAUCAGUGGCGAAGGCGGCUUACUGGGCUUUAACUGACGCUGAGGCUCGAAAGCGUGGGGAGCAAACAGGAUUAGAUACCCUGGUAGUCCACGCCGUAAACGAUGAUUACUAGGUGUGGGGGGACUGACCCCUUCCGUGCCGCAGCAAACGCAAUAAGUAAUCCACCUGGGGAGUACGACCGCAAGGUUGAAACUCAAAGGAAUUGACGGGGGCCCGCACAAGCAGUGGAGUAUGUGGAUUAAUUCGAAGCAACGCGAAGAACCUUACCAGGUCUUGACUUCGUAUGCAUAGCUCAGAGAUGAGUGAAAUCUCUUCGGAGACAUAUAGACAGGUGGUGCAUGGUUGUCGUCAGCUCGUGUCGUGAGAUGUUGGGUUAAGUCCCGCAACGAGCGCAACCCUUACUGUUAGUUGCUACGCAAGAGCACUCUAGCAGGACUGCCGUUGACAAAACGGAGGAAGGUGGGGAUGACGUCAGAUCAUCAUGCCCCUUAUGACCUGGGCCUCACACGUACUACAAUGGCUGUCAACAGAGGGAAGCAAAGCCGCGAGGUGGAGCGAACCCCUAAAAGCAGUCUUAGUUCGGAUUGUAGGCUGCAACCCGCCUACAUGAAGUCGGAAUUGCUAGUAAUCGCAGAUCAGCAUGCUGCGGUGAAUACGUUCG
rnacentral:rRNA from 1 species